rnacentral:lncRNA from 1 species
CCCUCCCUAGCCUCUAUAACUAGAGGCUUUCGUGCAGUUUGUUCACUUAUUCCAGGACCGACCGCAGGGCCCAUUCGCAUGGAACCGCAUUCGGCUGUCUCAAUCAGUGCGGUCGGUCAUUUUAUUCCCUCCAUAAAUUUCCCGAACCCCUGGUCUGAUCUGGGUGAUUUUUGGAUAUGUUGUUCACCCAGAUCAGGGCUAUCAGGGGGUGUAGGAUUUAAAGGGGUACCCCUACGUUUAGG